GUGAUCCCAACCCUAUCUCCUAUUUAUAAUCAUGAUUUGCAGGGAUUGUCACAUCUAUGACGUAAUGAUCACAACGGCUAUCCGGUUGUAACGGCUAGUUAUUCGGAGUUGCCCGUUGGAGAUAAGAUCAAAACAAAAUACAACUCGUUAAUUUACAAUAAACUCCUUAUAUUUUGGGGGCAAUUGUUAGGGCUGGAUUUUUACAAUACAUGAUCCUCACAUGUGAUCCUAACCAGUGAUCCUUGUUUCUUUGGCAGAUAGUGAUCCUCAGCAGACUCCCAGGAUCAGGAUCACGGACCAUCAUAGGAUCCUCAUGCUAACAGUUGCUUUCGUUGAAUUUAAUGUUGUUUUGCAGGAAUGACUAGCAGGAUCCGCUCUUAGCAUCACAAUUAAAGGACACGUCUUCACAACUAUGGCAUGUGCUUAAUCGGAGAUGGACGUUGUGAAGGAUAUGGAAACUUGGCAUGAUUUAAGGGCGAUAAUU
rnacentral:lncRNA from 1 species